UGUUGGAUUGGUGGAGAUCGGAAGUAGUUUGUGCAUGCUAAUGAAGGAGUUGGGGUUGUGGAUAUUUACGUUCAACGGGAGCCGCCCUUCAUUCACCACAUGGUUAAAAGCUGAGUGCGUUCGCGCCACUUUCGCAAUUUUACUACGGUUUUGCAACGCAACCCACAGCGUGCUCGGAUGCUGUGUUUCCACCAUCGGGGCGCUGGAAGUUUACCGUUUAGUUUCGACGAUUUGCCCGGAGCGUUGACGGUGAACGAAAAGCCUUCGACCACCUCAAGUCACCAGGGUCCAGUGGACGUGGUCCGCCGCUAACGCCGUCCCAAAAGUGGAUCUGCCCGGUUCCUCGUGGCCGUGAGCUUGUCGACUCCAUGUCGGCGUAGUGCCAAAGUGCUUACAGUGCAGGUAGUUCUGUAAAAUCUACUGCAGUGGAGGCACUUCAAGCUCUACUUUGACAUGAACGCACACGAGCGGCGACGUCAACUACUGCUUAUGCUAAGGUGCAUUUAGUGCAGAUAGUGAAAUAGACUAGCACCUACUGCCCUAAGUGCCCCUUCUGGCAUAAGGGGCUGGCAAAUCCCGCUGUUCCCCAUUGGCUGUCCCCUAUUCUUUCAUUUCAUGCAGUUCUCUGCUAGUUUUGCAUAGUUGCACUACAAGAAAUAUUGAGUUGUGCAAAUCUAUGCAAAACUGAUGGUGGCCUGCUUCGCCAUCCUUUCCUGUGCCUCUGGCUUUGACCGUUUCUGCUUAAGCGUGCGUGCGUAUGUGUGUUUUUCAGGUUAACCCCUGUU